CAUAAAGUCAUACAGAUAAUAUGUAUUUUUUUUUUGACCUAAUUUGCCUACUUAAGGGCUGCCCAAGCAAAAUAUUUACUCCUAUUUUCAUCUGCCAUGGCCGAUUCCUCUGCACCCGACUCUUCUCCACCCAACUCUUCUCUACCCGAUUCCUCUACGCCCGACUCUUUUCCACCCAACUCUUCUCUAUCCGAUUUCUCUAUGGACGACAUCAUCAUAUUGAAGCUUGCAGAGGAUCAUGCGGCGAGUUUACCUGCGGAUAGGUGGCUAUCGGAACCAAAACCACCCUCGAUUUGGAACCUAUGUAAAAAAUCGAUUGAACACAUCAGAACGAACGAACCUGAGGAGUACAAACUUAUUGUUGAUAUAUGUAAAUUGGCUCUUAAUCAUUAUCAGGAAAGUCAUGUAUGUCUAUAUAAUUUUUUAUUUUUUAUUUUCAAAUUCUUAUAUUUUUGUUUCCUCUCCUGACGUCAAUUUCAUAUUUAGUAUUACUAAUUAUCCUUUUAGCCAGACAAAUCGUAUGAGUUUGACAGCGUGCCUGAGGGUGAGGAGGUGCUUGUUUGAAUGAUUGGAUUCAUGAAGUAUACCUUUAAGUUUCGAGCUACAAAUAUGAAGGUGACGGGUAAUCCUCUCCAAGUGUUUCAAGUUACUGCUGAUCAGCUCAGAGGAGGAGCUCUUAUUAUACAUGAAUGUACCCUGCUGGAAUAGGUUUGAAUGAUGUAGUUUGGACCUCCUAUCUGAUUCAGAAGAUUCAGAAUCUGCAAAGAGAUGCCUCAUGGACCAGUUUUCUUCAUCAAGCAAACUGAAAAAGUCCAAGUUCUAAGUUGGCUAUUAUAAACAGGAAAAAAUGUAAUUGGGUUUUAUGGUUUGGGGUGGUUUGUUUGGUUUGGUUCGGUUCUGACAAUGCUACUUAAACAUGUUCUGUAUCAGAUUUCUUGACUAUUAUCUCCUUUGAACUUAUGCUAUUGAUUUGACUAAAAUUAUGUAUAUUUCUACUUUGUGUUCUCCAACUGUUUGCAGGAUGAGGUGUAACACUACACUUAACUAUAUGGAGGGCAAGCUAUGGACCUAAUAUGUGAAGCUAAACAUUCCUGAAGAAGUAGGCUAUCUUAGUUAUUUUAUUUUGAAAACUUAUGUACCAAGCUACCUUAGUUUUUUUUUAAAAAACUUAUGUAAUUUUCUAUACUAUACAACAUCAUGUAUCCAAAUACAAAUUGUUAAU